rnacentral:rRNA from 1 species
CUACGGGCGGCUCCAGUGAGGAAUAUUGCACAAUGGAGGAAACUCUGAUGCAGCAACGCCGCGUGGAGGAUGACGCAUUUCGGUGUGUAAACUCCUUUUAUGAGUCAAGAAAAUGACGGUAGCUCAUGAAUAAGCACCGGCUAACUCCGUGCCAGCAGCCGCGGUAAUACGGAGGGUGCAAGCGUUACUCGGAAUCACUGGGCGUAAAGGACGCGUAGGCGGGAUAUCAAGUCAGGUGUGAAAUCCUACAGCUUAACUGUAGAACUGCACUUGAAACUGGUAACCUAGAGUAUGGGAGGGGGAGAUGGAAUUAGUGGUGUAGGGGUAAAAUCCGUAGAUAUCACUAGGAAUACCUAAAGCGAAGGCGAUCUCCUGGAACAUAACUGACGCUAAGGCGUGAAAGCGUGGGGAGCAAACAGGAUUAGAUACCCUUGAGUC